rnacentral:rRNA from 1 species
AGUGGCGGACGGGUGAGUAACGCGUGGGUAACCUGCCUUAUACAGGGGGAUAACAGUCAGAAAUGACUGCUAAUACCGCAUAAGCGCACAGAGCUGCAUGGCUCGGUGUGAAAAACUCCGGUGGUAUAAGAUGGACCCGCGUUGGAUUAGCUAGUUGGUGAGGUAACGGCCCACCAAGGCGACGAUCCAUAGCCGGCCUGAGAGGGUGAACGGCCACAUUGGGACUGAGACACGGCCCAGACUCCUACGGGAGGCAGCAGUGGGGAAUAUUGCACAAUGGGGGAAACCCUGAUGCAGCGACGCCGCGUGAAGGAAGAAGUAUCUCGGUAUGUAAACUUCUAUCAGCAGGGAAGAAAAUGACGGUACCUGACUAAGAAGCCCCGGCUAACUACGUGCCAGCAGCCGCGGUAAUACGUAGGGGGCAAGCGUUAUCCGGAUUUACUGGGUGUAAAGGGAGCGUAGACGGAUGGACAAGUCUGAUGUGAAAGGCUGGGGCUCAACCCCGGGACUGCAUUGGAAACUGCCCGUCUUGAGUGCCGGAGAGGUAAGCGGAAUUCCUAGUGUAGCGGUGAAAUGCGUAGAUAUUAGGAGGAACACCAGUGGCGAAGGCGGCU